rnacentral:rRNA from 1 species
CCUACGGGAGGCAGCAGUGGGGAAUAUUGCACAAUGGGCGCAAGCCUGAUGCAGCCAUGCCGCGUGUAUGAAGAAGGCCUUCGGGUUGUAAAGUACUUUCAGCGGGGAGGAAGGGAGUGAAGUUAAUACCUUUACUCAUUGACGUUACCCGCAGAAGAAGCACCGGCUAACUCCGUGCCAGCAGCCGCGGUAAU